CGUCCGAUCACCGAAGUUAUGCAACGUCGAGCCCGGUCAGUACUUGGAUGGGUGACCGCUUGGGAACACCGGGUGCUGUAGACUU
rnacentral:rRNA from 1 species